AUGUACCCCCCACGUACACUCCGGUUCCUCCGCGCCGUCCGCACCCACCUGACGACUGCUCGCUACGUUUUGUUAGCC
rnacentral:sRNA from 1 species